CCUACGGGGGGCAGCAGUGGGGAAUAUUGGACAAUGGGGGCAACCCUGAUCCAGCCAUGCCGCGUGUGUGAAGAAGGCCCUCGGGUUGUAAAGCACUUUCAGUGAGGAAGAACGCCUGGUGGUUAAUACCCAUCAGGAAAGACAUCACUCACAGAAGAAGCACCGGCUAACUCCGUGCCAGCAGCCGCGGUAAUACGGAGGGUGCGAGCGUUAAUCGGAAUUACUGGGCGUAAAGCGCGCGUAGGUGGCUUGAUAAGCCGGUUGUGAAAGCCCCGGGCUCAACCUGGGAACGGCAUCCGGAACUGUCAAGCUAGAGUGCAGGAGAGGAAGGUAGAAUUCCCGGUGUAGCGGUGAAAUGCGUAGAGAUCGGGAGGAAUACCAGUGGCGAAGGCGGCCUUCUGGACUGACACUGCCACUGAGGUGCGAAAGCGUGGGUAGCAAACAGGAUUAGAUACCCUAGUAGUC
rnacentral:rRNA from 1 species